GUAGUCUCGCACAGAUGCAUAUCAAUAAGCGGAGGAAAAGAAACUAACAAGGAUUCCCCUAGUAACGGCGAGUGAAGCGGGAAGAGCUCAAAUUUGAAAUCUUAAAGGGUUUCCCUUUACGAAUUGUAGUUUAAAGAAGUGGUUUUCUGUUGAGGUUUUGGUAAAAGUUCUUUGGAAUAGGACAUCAUAGAGGGUGAGAAUCCCGUAUUUGACCUUUACUUUCAACUUUGUGAUACACUUUCAAAGAGUCGGAUUGUUUGGGAAUGCAGUCCAAAAUGGGUGGUAAAUUUCAUCUAAGGCUAAAUAUUGGCGAGAGACCGAUAGCGAACAAGUACCGUGAGGGGAAGAUGAAAAGAACUUUGAAAAGAGAGUUAAACAGUACGUGAAAUUGUCAAAAGGGAAGCGUUUGACACCAGUGUUGUUUUUCUGAAAAUCAAUUAAAGAACUGUUUAUGCUAAGCUGUUUAGACUUUAUCAGCUAUCUGUUUAGUUUUGAGCUUUUCUUUAAUGCACUUUUCAGUUAACAAGUCAACAUCAAUUUCUUUUGCUGUAAAAAAGCUUGAGGAAGGUGGCUUGAGAUUCGUCUUAAGUGUUUAUAGCCUCUUGCCUAUGCAGUCGGAGAGAUUGAGGUCUGCAGCGUAGAUCCUUCGGGGCUAAAUGCAUUUGUGCUAAGUUAUAGCAUUUUAUAGACAACUUGUUGACUAUGAUUUGUCUUGUAGCUUACUCGCUUAUGUUAUUUUACCUACGCUUAGGAUGUUGAAGACUCUACAGAGAUA
rnacentral:rRNA from 1 species